CAGUCGCCACGGUAAUACGGAGGGUGCAAGCGUUAAUCGGAAUUACUGGGCGUAAAGCGCACGCAGGCGGUUUGUUAAGUCAGAUAUGAAAUCCCCGAGCUUAACUUGGGAACUGCAUUUGAAACUGGCAAGCUAGAGUCUUGUAGAGGGGGGUAGAAUUCCAGGUGUAGCGGUGAAAUGCGUAGAGAUCUGGAGGAAUACCGGUGGCGAAGGCGGCCCCCUGGACAAAGACUGACGCUCAGGUGCGAAAGCGUGGGGAGCAAACAGGAUUAGAUACCCGCGUAGUCCCUGUCUCUUAUAA
rnacentral:rRNA from 1 species